UCCGUAGGCGUUUCGAUUAGUCUGAUGUUAAAUCUUGGAGCUCAACUCCAAGCUCGUAUCGGAAACUAUCGAAAUAGAGUAGUGUAGAGGCAGAUGGAAUUCCAGAAGUAGGGGUAAAAUCCGUAGACCUCUGGAGGAACACCAAACGCGAAGGCAUUCUGCUGGGCACUUACUGACGCUGAGGGACGAAAGCGUGGGUAGCGAACG
rnacentral:rRNA from 1 species